rnacentral:rRNA from 1 species
AAGACGGAAAGACCCCGUGAACCUUUACUAUAGCUUGACACUGAACAUUGAGCCUUGAUGUGUAGGAUAGGUGGGAGGCUUUGAAGCGUGGACGCCAGUCUGCGUGGAGCCGACCUUGAAAUACCACCCUUUAAUGUUUGAUGUUCUAACGUGGACCCGUAAUCCGGGUUGCGGACAGUGUCUGGUGGGUAGUUUGACUGGGGCGGUCUCCUCCUAAAGAGUAACGGAGGAGCACGAAGGUUGGCUAAUCCUGGUCGGACAUCAGGAGGUUAGUGCAAUGGCAUAAGCCAGCUUGACUGCGAGCGUGACGGCGCGAGCAGGUGCGAAAGCAGGUCAUAGUGAUCCGGUGGUUCUGAAUGGAAGGGCCAUCGCUCAACGGAUAAAAGGUACUCCGGGGAUAACAGGCUGAUACCGCCCAAGAGUUCAUAUCGACGGCGGUGUUUGGCACCUCGAUGUCGGCUCAUCACAUCCUGGGGCUGAAGUAGGUCCCAAGGGUAUGGCUGUUCGCCAUUUAAAGUGGUACGCGAGCUGGGUUUAGAACGUCGUGAGACAGUUCGGUCCCUAUCUGCCGUGGGCGCUGGAGAACUGAGGGGGGCUGCUCCUAGUACGAGAGGACCGGAGUGGACGCAUCACUGGUGUUCGGGUUGUCAUGCCAAUGGCACUGCCCGGUAGCUAAAUGCGGAAGAGAUAAGUGCUGAAAGCAUCUAAGCACGAAACUUGCCCCGAGAUGAGUUCUCCCUGAGACUUAGAGUCUCCUGAAGGAACGUUGAAGACGACGACGUUGAUAGGCCGGGUGUGUAAGCGCAGCGAUGCGUUGAGCUAACCGGUACUAAUGAACCGUGAGGCUUAACCUUAC